GAUGAACGCUGGCGGCGUGCCUAAUACAUGCAAGUAGAACGCUGAAGGAGGAGCUUGCUCUUCUGGAUGAGUUGCGAACGGGUGAGUAACGCGUAGGUAACCUGCCUGGUAGCGGGGGAUAACUAUUGGAAACGAUAGCUAAUACCGCAUGACAACAGUUAUUGCAUGAUAACUGUUUAAAAGGGGCAACUGCUCCACUACCAGAUGGACCUGCGUUGUAUUAGCUAGUUGGUGAGGUAACGGCUCACCAAGGCGACGAUACAUAGCCGACCUGAGAGGGUGAUCGGCCACACUGGACUGAGACACGGCCCAGACUCCUACGGGAGGCAGCAGUAGGGAAUCUUCGGCAAUAGACGGAAGUCUGACCGAGCAACGCCGCGUGAGUGAAGAAGGUUUUCGGAUCGUAAAGCUCUGUUGUAAGAGAAGAACGAGUGUGAGAGUGGAAAGUUCACACUGUGACGGUAUCUUACCAGAAAGGGACGGCUAACUACGUG
rnacentral:rRNA from 1 species